CAAAGUUUCUCCGCAAUUCGUCCAGGUUUGAAAUUAUUUUGUUAAGUAUGCGGUGAAUAUUUUAUGGCAACUAAUAUAAAUCUAACGUCCAAUAUUUAGUAGUGAACAUAUAGUAUAUUCGUUUAAUGCACACGUGGAAUAAAGAGCUGGCGUUAACAAAAUUUAACAGAGGGGAAUGAUUAUAAAUAUAUUUAUUUGCCGACUCCAUU